UACGUAGGGGGCAAGCGUUGUCCGGAUUUAUUGGGCGUAAAGAGCGUGUAGGCGGCCAGUUAGGUCAGCUGUGAAAACUCGAGGCUCAACCUCGAGACGUCGGUUGAAACCACCUGGCUAGAGUCCGGAAGAGGAGAGUGGAAUUCCUGGUGUAGCGGUGAAAUGCGCAGAUAUCAGGAAGAACACCAGUGGCGAAGGCGGCUCUCUGGGACGGUACUGACGCUGAGGCGCGAAAGCGUGGGGAGCGAACAGG
rnacentral:rRNA from 1 species